rnacentral:other from 1 species
CGGACCCUGCUGUGUGCGAGUCGGAGCUGACUGUUUUGUUCCAACACCAACACAUAGGGAGCCCGGACUCUGGUUGUGGCGUGUAUGCCGCCUCGGAGCGGACACAUAAAGCUUCCAGGAGGGCACCCACCUGCAGGGCGCAGGGGAUUUAAAUGGUCAGCGCAAACGGCACGGCGGGGUCCUC